AAAUCAAUGAAGUAGAGUUUAUCUGGAUGUUUAGGAGAUGAAUGAAAAGAUCAAUAUGAAAAACAACUAUCAACAGUACACAAUAAAGCAAAUUUUCAGCAAUAUAUUAUUUCCUCUGUGCAAAUUGGGCACCAUUUCAGGAACCAAUCCACAAGAAUUUCAGCGUCUUUCAGUUCACCAUAUUAGACAUAUUAUGAGCUAUAACGCGGGCAAAGCACCAAAAACACACCAGUAUUCUCAUAAAAUACCAAUGAGCAAUGGAAAGAUCAAAGUAACCCCUAAGAUAGAUCACAAAGAAAUUAUUAUGUUCGAGUGAAAUCCAUGCCAUCAAUUGACCAGAAAAGUUCAACUGAGAAAAGUGCAUUCAUUAUAACCCAGAUUUUUAGCAUAGAUUAGUGAACAAUGCAGACAACCUCUACAUAUUUGCUCUUUCAUUGAUUGCCCUUCUUCAUAUGUCAUGCCUACUCAUACUUGACAUAGCUUAUAUGGGUACAGCAGACUGAAAAUCUGUUGGCCAUGACCCUGCAUUAAUAAUCUACUACCUAAAAAAUCCAUCAAGUAUGAUAUUGAUAUGUACUUGUGUACCAGUACUAGCUACACUCGCAUCACAUUACCAUUUGAGUUUACUAGUGGCAUAC
rnacentral:misc_RNA from 1 species